GAUGAACGCUAGCUACAGGCUUAACACAUGCAAGUCGAGGGACCGGCGCACGGGUGAGUAACCCGUCUCCCCCCUGCCCUUUACCCGGUGAUAACCUUUCCUAAUACAGAUUAAUCCCCGCUAUACAGGCUGGGGAUCCGUUCCAUUAGGUUGUUGGUGAGGUAACGGCCCACCAAGCCUUCGAUGGCUAGGGGUUCUGAGAGGAAGGGCCCCCACAUUGGAACGGGGACACGGGCCAAACUCCUACGGGAGGCAGCAGUGAGGAAGAUUGGUCAAGGGGCGCUAGCCUGAACCAGCCAAGUAGCGUGAAGGAUGAAGGCUUAUGGGUCGUAAACUUCUUUUAUAUAAGAAUAGGUAUUAUAUGAAUAAGGAUCGGCUAACUCCGUGCCAGCAGCCGCGGUAAUUC
rnacentral:rRNA from 1 species